UACGGAGGGUGCAAGCGUUAAUCGGAAUUACUGGGCGUAAAGCGUGCGCAGGCGGUUUGUUAAGUCCGUUGUGAAAGCCCCGAGCUCAACUUGGGAAUUGCAGUGGAUACUGGCAGGCUGGAGUACGGUAGAGGAAGGUGGAAUUCCCGGUGUAGCGGUGAAAUGCGCAGAUAUCAGGAGGAACACCGGUGGCGAAGGCGGGUCUCUGGGCCGAUACUGACGCUGAGGAGCGAAAGCGUGGGGAGCGAACAGG
rnacentral:rRNA from 1 species